AUUGAACGCUGGCGGCAGGCCUAACACAUGCAAGUCGAACGAGUGGCGGACGGGUGAGUAAUGUCUGGGAAACUGCCCGAUGGAGGGGGAUAACUACUGGAACCGGUAGCUAUUACCGCAUACAAUCGACUUUGCCCAGAUGGGAUUAGCUAGUGGGUGGGUGAACGGCUAACCUGGGCGACGAUCCCUAGCUGGUCUGAGAGGUUGACCAGCCACACUGGAACUGAGACACGGCCCAGACUCCGACGGGAGGCAGCAGUGGGGAAUAUUGCACAAUGGGCGCAAGCCUGAUGCAGCCAUGCCGCGUGUAUGAAGAAGGCCUUAGGGUUGUAAAGUACUUUCAGCGAGGAGGCGUUACUCGCAGAAGAAGCACCGGCUAACUCCGUGCCAGCAGCCGCGGUAAUAC
rnacentral:rRNA from 1 species